rnacentral:rRNA from 1 species
GACGAACGCUGGCGGCAGGCCUAACACAUGCAAGUCGAACGAGUGGCGGACGGGUGAGUAAUGUCUGGGAAACUGCCCGAUGGAGGGGGGUAACUACUGGAAACAGUAGCUAAUACCGCCUACCAUCGGAUGUGCCCAGAUGGGAUUAGCUAGUAGGUGGGGUAACGGCUCACCUCGGCGACGAUCCCUAGCUGGGCUGAGAGGAUGAGCAGCCACACUGGAACUGAGACACGGUCCAGACUCCUACGGGAGGCAGCAGUGGGGAAUAUUGCACAAUGGGCGCAAGCCUGAUGCAGCCAUGCCGCGUGUAUGAAGAAGGUCUUCGGGUUGUAAAGUACUUUCAGCGAGGAGGCGUUACUCGCAGAAGAAGCACCGGCUAACUCCGUGCCAGCAGCCGCGGUAAUUC